rnacentral:rRNA from 1 species
AAUGGGCGCAAGCCUGAUCCAGCCAUGCCGCGUGAGUGAAGAAGGCCUUCGGGUUGUAAAGCUCUUUCGGACGGAAAGAAAUCGCGCAGGCUAAUACCCUGCGCGGAUGACGGUACCGUCAUAAGAAGCACCGGCUAACUACGUGCCAGCAACCGCGGUAAUACGUAGGGUGCGAGCGUUAAUCGGAAUUACUGGGCGUAAAGCGUGCGCAGGCGGUUUGGUAAGACAGGAGUGAAAUCCCCGGGCUUAACCUGGGAACUGCGCUUGUGACUGCCAGGCUAGAGUACGGCAGAGGGGGGUGGAAUUCCACGUGUAGCAGUGAAAUGCGUAGAGAUGUGGAGGAACACCAAUGGCGAAGGCAGCCCCCUGGGUCGAUACUGACGCUCAUGCACGAAAGCGUGGGUAGCAAA